rnacentral:rRNA from 1 species
AUUGAACGCUGGCGGCAAGCCUAACACAUGCAAGUCGAACGAGUGGCGGACGGGUGAGUAAUGUCUGGGAAACUGCCUGAUGGAGGGGGAUAACUACUGGAAACGGUAGAGAAUACAGCAAACCAUCGGAUGUGCCCAGAUGGGAGUAGUUAGUAGGUGGGGUAAAGGCUCACCUAGCCGACGAUACCUAGCUGGUCUGAGAGGAUGACCAGCCACACUGGAACUGAGACACGGUCCAGACUCCUACGGGAGGCAGCAGUGGGGAAUAUUGCACAAUGGGGGCAAGCCUGAUGCAGCCAUGCCGCGUGUAUGAAGAAGGCCUUCGGGUUGUAAAGUUCUUUCAGCGGGGAGGCGUUACCCGCAGAAGAAGCACCGGCUAACUCCGUGCCAGCCGCCGCGGUAAUAC